rnacentral:rRNA from 1 species
AAAUUGAAGAGUUUGAUCAUGGCUCAGAUUGAACGCUGGCGGCAGGCCUAACACAUGCAAGUCGAACGGUAGCACAGAGAGCUUGCUCUCGGGUGACGAGUGGCGGACGGGUGAGUAAUGUCUGGGAAACUGCCUGAUGGAGGGGGAUAACUACUGGAAACGGUGGCUAAUACCGCAUAACGUCGCAAGACCAAAGAGGGGGACCUUCGGGCCUCUUGCCAUCAGAUGUGCCCAGAUGGGAUUAGCUUGUUGGUGAGGUAACGGCUCACCAAGGCGACGAUCCCUAGCUGGUCUGAGAGGAUGACCAGCCACACUGGAACUGAGACACGGUCCAGACUCCUACGGGAGGCAGCAGUGGGGAAUAUUGCACAAUG